GAUGAACGCUAGCGACAGGCUUAACACAUGCAAGUCGAGGGGCGGCACAGGUAGCAAUACCGGGUGGCGACCGGCGCACGGGUGAGUAACGCGUAUGCAACUUGCCUAUCAGAGGGGGAUAACCCGGCGAAAGUCGGACUAAUACCGCAUGAAGCAGGGGCCCCGCAUGGGGAUAUUUGCUAAAGAUUCAUCGCUGAUAGAUAGGCAUGCGUUCCAUUAGGCAGUUGGCGGGGUAACGGCCCACCAAACCGACGAUGGAUAGGGGUUCUGAGAGGAAGGUCCCCCACAUUGGUACUGAGACACGGACCAAACUCCUACGGGAGGCAGCAGUGAGGAAUAUUGGUCAAUGGCCGAGAGGCUGAACCAGCCAAGUCGCGUGAGGGAUGAAGGUUCUAUGGAUCGUAAACCUCUUUUAUAAGGGAAUAAAGUGCGGGACGUGUCCCGUUUUGUAUGUACCUUAUGAAUAAGGAUCGGCUAACUCCGUGCCAGCAGCCGCGGUAAUACGGAGGAUCCGAGCGUUAUCCGGAUUUAUUGGGUUUAAAGGGUGCGUAGGCGGCCUUUUAAGUCAGCGGUGAAAGUCUGUGGCUCAACCAUAGAAUUGCCGUUGAAACUGGGGGGCUUGAGUAUGUUUGAGGCAGGCGGAAUGCGUGGUGUAGCGGUGAAAUGCAUAGAUAUCACGCAGAACCCCGAUUGCGAAGGCAGCCUGCCAAGCCAUUACUGACGCUGAUGCACGAAAGCGUGGGGAUCAAACAGGAUUAGAUACCCUGGUAGUCCACGCAGUAAACGAUGAUCACUAGCUGUUUGCGAUACACUGUAAGCGGCACAGCGAAAGCGUUAAGUGAUCCACCUGGGGAGUACGCCGGCAACGGUGAAACUCAAAGGAAUUGACGGGGGCCCGCACAAGCGGAGGAACAUGUGGUUUAAUUCGAUGAUACGCGAGGAACCUUACCCGGGUUUGAACGCAUUCGGACCGAGGUGGAAACACCUUUUCUAGCAAUAGCCGUUUGCGAGGUGCUGCAUGGUUGUCGUCAGCUCGUGCCGUGAGGUGUCGGCUUAAGUGCCAUAACGAGCGCAACCCUUGCCACUAGUUACUAACAGGUUAGGCUGAGGACUCUGGUGGGACUGCCAGCGUAAGCUGCGAGGAAGGCGGGGAUGACGUCAAAUCAGCACGGCCCUUACAUCCGGGGCGACACACGUGUUACAAUGGCGUGGACAAAGGGAUGCCACCUGGCGACAGGGAGCGAAUCCCCAAACCACGUCUCAGUUCGGAUCGGAGUCUGCAACCCGACUCCGUGAAGCUGGAUUCGCUAGUAAUCGCGCAUCAGCCAUGGCGCGGUGAAUACGUUCCCGGGCCU
rnacentral:rRNA from 1 species